rnacentral:lncRNA from 10 species
GUCGGCUCAGCCAAUGCGCAUGCGCGAGGCGGGAGCGGUUUCUCCCGUCACAGUGGUUCCCAUGGUUGUCUUAGAAACCAGUCCCCGAGGCUUGGCAAAGCAGGAGCCCUCUGUGGCAGUGCUUGGGUGUCGGGGCUCUGAGGAUCCGGCCUCACCUCUCCACGGGGUCGACGGGAACGUCUCCGGAUGCCAGGAGUCGCAAAGGGCCGACCACGAUGAGGAAACCCCAGGCUGGGACGGGGGAAGCAGCACGGGAUCCCAGCCUCAGGCCUGCCCGGACGGUGUUGGUUGGGGAUCAAGAUGAGUACACUGCAGCCGAGAACAAGAGCCCCAGAGGAACUCUUUGUCCCACAGGAGAGCAGCGGAUCCACGCCAGAGAAGAUGCUUGUAUCUUUUCACGGCUCUUCUCUGAGAAAUGAAGCCACACCACGAUACAGUCAGCAAGAGGAAGCCGGGAAUGGGAGAUGGCAACAGUCCCUGUCACUGGAACGCUGGCCUCCCUGGACAAGCCACCCUUUAGGAACCCCACCCCUUAUGUCUGUGGCGGUGGCACGGUGCUGUAUCCUGCCUGGGCUCUGGCCUCUACUCUCUCCUCCCUCUGGCUCUGCCUCCCCUGUUUCUCAGGGGCCUGGAUGCCUCUCGCUCUGGCCAAAUGCCUUCAAAAAAGAUGACUUCCCAGUCCGUCAGGGAGACACUUCCUGGA